AAGGCAAAGAAGAUAGUUCUAAUGAGCUAAAUCCCAUCUCAAAAUUUGUCUUUUGAACCAAUCCAUUCGGAGAUCAAAAAAAAUUUUAAGCUUUGCCAGGAAAUUGUAAAAAGUUCAUUUGGGAAAUUAUUUUACAUGUCAACGUACAUAGAGAACUCAUACUAAUAGGAUGUGAAUCAGGACCAGGGAGAAGCUCGAUUCAGAGUAGAUUUUCUCGAAAGACACAAAGACCUGGCUCAAUUGAUUCAACUAUUGUGGCUGUAGUGCAAUUGGUAUUUGGGCCUCGUGUGUGUUUACAAGUUUAAAAAAUUGCCGCAAUUGUAACCCCCUUCUCCUCUGCUUGACCUGGCACGUAGCACCUCCUUAGUGAUGGCACACCUACCUCCAUUUGACAACCCAACACAGCAACCCUUGACAGUAGCCUAGCCACCACUCGACCACAGGAGAGGCCAUUGUUCGACCACAACAACUCGUGCAACUGGAGUCUUCCUCUCUUCUCUAGUGACUAGUUUCUUCCUUCUUCCUAUGCACAACAACACCUCAGGCACACUAGAUAUUCCCCAAGUAUGGAGCUCUUCCCUUUCUCAUAUAUGUUCGUAUCUCACGCCGGAUUUGGAGGUUUUGGGUGUUGUGUUUAUAUGUGAAUUAGAAUUCUUCAAGUCAGAGUUUGGAUAGUUACUCAUCAUAUAAUAUUAAUUUUUUUUUUUAGAAUUCCGAAAAUUGGCUUUGGUCUCUUUCUCAUGUAAUACAAUCAUUGCUCAAUGAUAUUAUGUCAAUAGUUUCUUAGAAAGAAAAUUAGAAUCAACAACAGCAUAUUACUUGUUUAUAUUACAGACAUACUUUUUCCCUUCAAAAAA